rnacentral:lncRNA from 1 species
GUCAGUCUUGGCUGGCAGACCUGUACUCCGUACUCCGUACUUCGUAGUCGCAGCGGCGCGGUCUUCGGCAGUCUAGUCAUCCACCGCCAUCCUGGGCCCCACGUGUUGCCUGACCAUUCCUGAGCCCAGGUGGGAGCCGUGGCUGAGGUGACGGUCUCAAAGUGGAAGAGCUUACUGUCACAGCAACUCCUUUGCAAGAUGCCCCGUGUCCAUGAAACUGGGAGGCGACCGUGUUAGCUGCCAGUUCCUGACAGCCACCUCUCACCAGUGGCUUCACUCUGUGUCCCUGACCCAGCACAUGGCACAAGAGUGCCUGCCAUCCGUCAGUGUUUCUACAGCAGCAAUCCCAAGAUGCUGGAGCUAGAGGGGACCUGACCUGAGAGAAGAUACCUUCAGUGGCUGCCAGGCUGUUCCUUGGAACCUGUGCAGGGAUGAGGCCUGCCUGUGUUAAUACACCUAGUGAGGAGUGGAGCUGAAUUUGAAUGCAAGCCUUGGCACCUUAAUUGAGCAAGUUUGAAACCUCGCUUGUUGCCCUUCUGGAAGGAGUCAGGAAUUUCCAGUUCUGGGCCUGGGCUGUGGGUCUGGCAGACAGACCUCUGGCCCUAGGUUUGGGUGCCAGGUUCUCUGCUUCCAGAAUGAGAAGCUUUGCUGUGCACCAGGACCUGGGCCCUUCUGGUAUCUCCUGAAUGAAAAACAAGGGAUAUUUAAUAAAUAUGGAUUUAAAUAUG